GUGAGGAAUAUUGGUCAAUGGGCGAGAGCCUGAACCAGCCAAGUAGCGUGCAGGAUGACGGCCCUAUGGGUUGUAAACUGCUUUUACACGGGGAUAAAGUGUGCGACGUGUCGUUCAUUGCAGGUACCGUGCGAAUAAGGACCGGCUAAUUCCGUGCCAGCAGCCGCGGUAAUACGGAAGGUCCGGGCGUUCUCCGGAUUUAUUGGGUUUAAAGGGAGCGUAGGCCGUCUGUUAAGCGUGUUGUGAAAUGUAGAUGCUCAACAUCUGAAUUGCAGCGCGAACUGAUAGACUUGAGUGCGCAGGAAGUAGGCGGAAUUCGUGGUGUAGCGGUGAAAUGCUUAGAUAUCACGAAGAACACCGAUUGCGUAGGCAGCUCACCAGACCACAACUGACGCUGAGGCACGAAGGUGCGGGGAUCAAACAGGAUUAGAAACCCUUGUAGUCC
rnacentral:rRNA from 1 species